rnacentral:rRNA from 1 species
UGGGGAAUCUUGGACAAUGGGGGCAACCCUGAUCCAGCCAUGCCGCGUGAGUGAUGAAGGCCUUAGGGUCGUAAAGCUCUUUCGCCUGUGAAGAUAAUGACGGUAGCAGGUAAAGAAACCCCGGCUAACUCCGUGCCAGCAGCCGCGGUAAUACGGAGGGGGUUAGCGUUGUUCGGAAUUACUGGGCGUAAAGCGCGCGUAGGCGGAUUGUUAAGUCGGGGGUGAAAGUCCCGGGGCUCAACCCCGGAACUGCCUUCGAUACUGGCAAUCUAGAGAUCUGGAGAGGCGAGUGGAAUUCCGAGUGUAGAGGUGAAAUUCGUAGAUAUUUGGAGGAACACCAGUGGCGAAGGCGGCUCACUGGCUCGAUACUGACGCUGAGGUGCGAAAGUGUGGGGAGCAAACAGGAUUAGAUACCCUGGUAGUCCACACCGUAAACGAUGAAUGCCAGUCGUCGGGUAGCAUGCUAUUCGGUGACACACCUAACGGAUUAAGCAUUCCGCCUGGGGAGUACGGUCGCAGAUUAAAA